GUGACUGGCCGCCGACGGAUCCACCUCCUUCCAAUCUCUGAUUCCCCACACCCGUCGCCGUACUUCUCCUCAUUUUCUCCCGACCAAGAGCGCCAGCGACCUGGCUCUUCUUCCUCCUCCAGACCAAAUGUGUCACCGGUCCCGCUCCUCUUCCUCCUCCUGGCACGCGCGCCGCCAUCCCCGCACCUCCUUCCUCCUCCUGGCACGUGCGCUACCAUCCCCGUGCCUCCUUCCUCCUCCUGGCACCUGUGCCUCCUUCCUCUUCCUAGUACCCGUGCCGCCGCCCCCGCACCUCCUUCCUCCUCCUAGCACGCGUGCUGCCGCCGCACCUCCUUACUCCUCCUGCCAUGCGCACCGCCGCCCCGACCUUCCCUGCCGCACUCUCCUCCCAGGCUCAUGCCGCCGCCCCGACCACAUCUCCACCAGCUCCGGCCACCGCCGCGCCCCCAUCUCCCCCGGCUCCCACACCGCGCAUCUCGUCCUAGUGGGGCUCCAUAACCACAGUACCGGACCACCCCAGGCCAUUCAACGCCACCAACCCGGCCCGUUCAUUGCAGCAACACCCAGGAUCUAGCUACCACCAUGUCGUUCCCACGGUGACGUUCGAUGGAGCACCUCGUCUCUCUCCUGCUGCAGGGAGGCCAGCUACUGCACUGUGGAGUGAGCUGUAAAAAAUGUGGCAAAUUAGGUAGAGAUUAAACACCCCCCGGAGCACACCGUCAGUGUCCAUGAGCGGGGCUCCCGUGGAUGGCUGGAUCCCGUCGUCGGCGUCGAUAGCGUCCACGAGCGCGAGCACCCCACAUCCGGCGUACAAAUAGCUCCACUAGAAUUGGUAACUGGUGGAGAUCAUUCAUGUUGAUUACUUUUGACAAGAAUAAUAGUCCACUAGAGAAUUUGCUGAAGAUUAGAUAGGAGUGAAAAAACUAAAGGUUUGGAAGUGAUGGUCGCGGCCUCUUCCUUCUGUAGGUCACCGCCUCCUGCUUCUGCAGGCCGUGCCCCAUCCCCCGAUUCCCGCAGCAGACAUGCCGCUCACCGCCGGCACCACAGUCCGUUCACUGCCGACAACCGAGGCCAUUCAACGACGCAACGACGAGCAUGAGAAGAUUUGUAGAUGCACAACAGAGUUUGUAGACUGCCAUGUUAAACAAUGUCAACAGGCAACAAGCAGCAAGGGAAAAAGAAGAGCAAGAUUGACAUCAGUAGUCAAAAAUAAUAGAACAUCAGUUCUAAAAUUCCCCACACAUCAGUACACCUAUUUCUGGUUCUCUAGAUUGGUCUUGGUACAUGAUACAUCUUAAGCUUGGUCUUGGUACAGGAUACAUCUUAAGCUGGAGUUCGUCGCUAAGCAGUUCAACGAGGUGGAGAUUGGGGCACGGUGGAGUGUGACCGUGUGUGUGCAGACGGCCCACCGCAACGUCACCGGCCGGAUCCCGCUCUUCAGUGUACAACAAGAAGUUCAUGUAUUGAUGCCCCUGGAGUCCAUGUAGCUCUGCUGCCGUGCUACCCUUAUCGGCCUCGGCUAUGUCGAAGGAGCUCCCUUAUGUUUAGUGGAUUCAACAAAAAAAAGUCCCUGCUGCCACUGCAUCCUGAGUUCAAGGGAUUCCUUAGGCGCUUUCUACACCAUCUUGCUAAUGAUGCCAUCGUUGGAUGCCACAGCCAUGCUCGUCGUUCUUGUACUACCAUUCACAUACUGCUCCCUGUUUUACUCCAUUGAGAUCCAUAGAAAUAAGUUAUAUUCAGUUCGCCACUUUUACAAUUGAUGGUCCUAUGUUGACCGAAACAAUAGUUCAAGCUCCUAAAAAAGCAAUCAUGUGUAUGCUACAUCACUUUGAGGAACUACAGCAAACAAAAUAAGGAGAGCUUGGUACUACUUGAUUUUUUUUAUAGUACUACUUGAAGCCUUUCUGUUGUAUACAUUGUCUCCUAUUUAUUAUAACCUCGUCAGAUUGUUGGAUGCA